rnacentral:rRNA from 1 species
CUUCUUUUUCACCGGAGCUUGCUCCACCGGAAAAAGAAGAGUGGCGAACGGGUGAGUAACACGUGGGUAACCUGCCCAUCAGAAGGGGAUAACACUUGGAAACAGGUGCUAAUACCGUAUAACAAUCGAAACCGCAUGGUUUUGAUUUGAAAGGCGCUUUCGGGUGUCGCUGAUGGAUGGACCCGCGGUGCAUUAGCUAGUUGGUGAGGUAACGGCUCACCAAGGCCACGAUGCAUAGCCGACCUGAGAGGGUGAUCGGCCACAUUGGGACUGAGACACGGCCCAAACUCCUACGGGAGGCAGCAGUAGGGAAUCUUCGGCAAUGGACGAAAGUCUGACCGAGCAACGCCGCGUGAGUGAAGAAGGUUUUCGGAUCGUAAAACUCUGUUGUUAGAGAAGAACAAGGAUGAGAGUAACUGUUCAUCCCUUGACGGUAUCUAACCAGAAAGCCACGGCUAACUACGUGCCAGCAGCCGCGGUAAUACGUAGGUGGCAAGCGUUGUCCGGAUUUAUUGGGCGUAAAGCGAGCGCAGGCGGUUUCUUAAGUCUGAUGUGAAAGCCCCCGGCUCAACCGGGGAGGGUCAUUGGAAACUGGGAGACUUGAGUGCAGAAGAGGAGAGUGGAAUUCCAUGUGUAGCGGUGAAAUGCGUAGAUAUAUGGAGGAACACCAGUGGCGAAGGCGGCUCUCUGGUCUGUAACUGACGCUGAGGCUCGAAAGCGUGGGGAGCAAACAGGAUUAGAUACCCUGGUAGUCCACGCCGUAAACGAUGAGUGCUAAGUGUUGGAGGGUUUCCGCCCUUCAGUGCUGCAGCUAACGCAUUAAGCACUCCGCCUGGGGAGUACGACCGCAAGGUUGAAACUCAAAGGAAUUGACGGGGGCCCGCACAAGCGGUGGAGCAUGUGGUUUAAUUCGAAGCAACGCGAAGAACCUUACCAGGUCUUGACAUCCUUUGACCACUCUAGAGAUAGAGCUUCCCCUUCGGGGGCAAAGUGACAGGUGGUGCAUGGUUGUCGUCAGCUCGUGUCGUGAGAUGUUGGGUUAAGUCCCGCAACGAGCGCAACCCUUAUUGUUAGUUGCCAUCAUUUAGUUGGGCACUCUAGCAAGACUGCCGGUGACAAACCGGAGGAAGGUGGGGAUGACGUCAAAUCAUCAUGCCCCUUAUGACCUGGGCUACACACGUGCUACAAUGGGAAGUACAACGAGUCGCGAAGUCGCGAGGCUAAGCUAAUCUCUUAAAGCUUCUCUCAGUUCGGAUUGUAGGCUGCAACUCGCCUACAUGAAGCCGGAAUCGCUAGUAAUCGCGGAUCAGCACGCCGCGGUGAAUACGUUCCCGGGCCUUGUACACACCGCCCGUCACACCACGAGAGUUUGUAACACCCGAAGUCGGUGAG